rnacentral:rRNA from 1 species
GAUGAACGCUAGCGGCAGGCUUAAUACAUGCAAGUCGAGGGGUAACACGGGUAGCAAUAUCUGGUGACGACCGGCAAACGGGUGCGGAACACGUACAGAACCUUCCUUUAAGCGGGGGAUAGCCCAUAGAAAUGUGGAUUAAUACCCCAUAGUAAUAUUGUCUGGCAUCAGAUGGUAUUUAAAGAUUUAUCACUUAAAGAUGGCUGUGCGGCUGAUUAGGUAGUUGGUGCGGGUAACGGCCCACCAAGCCUUCGAUCAGUAACUGGUGUGAGAGCACGACCAGUCACACGGGCACUGAGACACGGGCCCGACUCCUACGGGAGGCAGCAGUAAGGAAUAUUGGUCAAUGGACGCAAGUCUGAACCAGCCAUGCCGCGUGAAGGAUGAA